rnacentral:rRNA from 1 species
GGGUUGUGAGGUUAAGCGACUAAGCGUACACGGUGGAUGCCCUGGCAGUCAGAGGCGAUGAAGGACGUGCUAAUCUGCGAUAAGCGUCGGUAAGGUGAUAUGAACCGUUAUAACCGGCGAUUUCCGAAUGGGGAAACCCAGUGUGUUUCGACACACUAUCAUUACGUGAAUACAUAGCGUAAUGAAGCGAACCGGGGGAACUGAAACAUCUAAGUACCCCGAGGAAAAGAAAUCAACCGAGAUUCCCCCAGUAGCGGCGAGCGAACGGGGAGCAGCCCAGAGUCUGAAUCAGCUUGUGUGUUAGUGGAACGGUCUGGAAAGUCCGACGGUACAGGGUGAUAGUCCCGUACACCAAAAUGCACAGGUUGUGAACUCGAAGAGUAGGGCGGGACACGUGGUAUCCUGUCUGAAUAUGGGGGGACCAUCCUCCAAGGCUAAAUACUCCUGACUGACCGAUAGUGAACCAGUACCGUGAGGGAAAGGCGAAAAGAACCCCGGCGAGGGGAGUGAAAAAGAACCUGAAACCGUGUACGUACAAGCAGUGGGAGCCUCUUUAUGGGGUGACUGCGUACCUUUUGUAUAAUGGGUCAGCGACUUAUAUUCUGUAGCAAGGUUAACCGUAUAGGGGAGCCGAAGGGAAACCGAGUCUUAACUGGGCGUUAAGUUGCAGGGUAUAGACCCGAAACCCGGUGAUCUAGCCAUGGGCAGGUUGAAGGUUGGGUAACACUAACUGGAGGACCGAACCGACUAAUGUUGAAAAAUUAGCGGAUGACUUGUGGCUGGGGGUGAAAGGCCAAUCAAACCGGGAGAUAGCUGGUUCUCCCCGAAAGCUAUUUAGGUAGCGCCUCGUGAACUCAUCUUCGGGGGUAGAGCACUGUUUCGGCUAGGGGGUCAUCCCGACUUACCAACCCGAUGCAAACUGCGAAUACCGAAGAAUGUUAUCACGGGAGACACACGGCGGGUGCUAACGUCCGUCGUGAAGAGGGAAACAACCCAGACCGCCAGCUAAGGUCCCAAAGUCAUGGUUAAGUGGGAAACGAUGUGGGAAGGCACAGACAGCCAGGAUGUUGGCUUAGAAGCAGCCAUCAUUUAAAGAAAGCGUAAUAGCUCACUGGUCGAGUCGGCCUGCGCGGAAGAUGUAACGGGGCUAAACCAUGCACCGAAGCUGCGGCAGCGACACUAUGUGUUGUUGGGUAGGGGAGCGUUCUGUAAGCCGUUGAAGGUGUAUCGUGAGGUAUGCUGGAGGUAUCAGAAGUGCGAAUGCUGACAUAAGUAACGAUAAUGCGGGUGAAAAACCCGCACGCCGGAAGACCAAGGGUUCCUGUCCAACGUUAAUCGGGGCAGGGUGAGUCGACCCCUAAGGCGAGGCCGAAAGGCGUAGUCGAUGGGAAACAGGUUAAUAUUCCUGUACUUGGUGUUACUGCGAAGGGGGGACGGAGAAGGCUAUGUUAGCCGGGCGACGGUUGUCCCGGUUUAAGCAUGUAGGCGGAGGUUCCAGGUAAAUCCGGUACCUUUUAACGCUGAGGUGUGAUGACGAGGCACUACGGUGCUGAAGUAACAAAUGCCCUGCUUCCAGGAAAAGCCUCUAAGCAUCAGGUAACACGAAAUCGUACCCCAAACCGACACAGGUGGUCAGGUAGAGAAUACCAAGGCGCUUGAGAGAACUCGGGUGAAGGAACUAGGCAAAAUGGUGCCGUAACUUCGGGAGAAGGCACGCUGAUAUGUAGGUGAAGCGGUUUACCCGUGGAGCUGAAAUCAGUCGAAGAUACCAGCUGGCUGCAACUGUUUAUUAAAAACACAGCACUGUGCAAACACGAAAGUGGACGUAUACGGUGUGACGCCUGCCCGGUGCCGGAAGGUUAAUUGAUGGGGUUAUCCGUAAGGAGAAGCUCUUGAUCGAAGCCCCGGUAAACGGCGGCCGUAACUAUAACGGUCCUAAGGUAGCGAAAUUCCUUGUCGGGUAAGUUCCGACCUGCACGAAUGGCGUAAUGAUGGCCAGGCUGUCUCCACCCGAGACUCAGUGAAAUUGAACUCGCUGUGAAGAUGCAGUGUACCCGCGGCAAGACGGAAAGACCCCGUGAACCUUUACUAUAGCUUGACACUGAACACUGGUCCUUGAUGUGUAGGAUAGGUGGGAGGCUUUGAAGUGUGGACGCCAGUCUGCAUGGAGCCAUCCUUGAAAUACCACCCUUUAAUGGCUGGUGUUCUAACGUGGACCCGUGAUCCGGGUUGCGGACAGUGUCUGGUGGGUAGUUUGACUGGGGCGGUCUCCUCCUAAAGAGUAACGGAGGAGCACGAAGGUUAGCUAAUCCUGGUCGGACAUCAGGAGGUUAGUGCAAAGGCAUAAGCUAGCUUGACUGCGAGAGUGACGGCUCGAGCAGGUGCGAAAGCAGGUCUUAGUGAUCCGGUGGUUCUGAAUGGAAGGGCCAUCGCUCAACGGAUAAAAGGUACUCCGGGGAUAACAGGCUGAUACCGCCCAAGAGUUCAUAUCGACGGCGGUGUUUGGCACCUCGAUGUCGGCUCAUCACAUCCUGGGGCUGAAGUAGGUCCCAAGGGUAUGGCUGUUCGCCAUUUAAAGUGGUACGCGAGCUGGGUUUAGAACGUCGUGAGACAGUUCGGUCCCUAUCUGCCGUGGGCGCUGGAGAAUUGAGGGGGGCUGCUCCUAGUACGAGAGGACCGGAGUGGACGCAUCACUGGUGUUCGGGUUGUCAUGCCAAUGGCAUUGCCCGGUAGCUAAAUGCGGAAGAGAUAAGUGCUGAAAGCAUCUAAGCACGAAACUUGCCCCGAGAUGAGUUCUCCCUGAGACUAUAAGUCUCCUGAAGGAACGUUAAAGACGAUGACGUUGAUAGGUCGGGUGUGUAAGUGUAGCGAUACAUUGAGCUAACCGAUACUAAUGAACCGUGAGGCUUAACCUUACAACGCCGAAG